rnacentral:rRNA from 1 species
GGGUUGUGAGGUUAAGCGACUAAGCGUACACGGUGGAUGCCCUGGCAGUCAGAGGCGAUGAAGGACGUGCUAAUCUGCGAUAAGCGUCGGUGAGGUGAUAUGAACCGUUAUAACCGGCGAUUUCCGAAUGGGGAAACCCAGUGUGUUUCGACACACUAUCAUUAACUGAAUCCAUAGGUUAAUGAGGCGAACCGGGGGAACUGAAACAUCUAAGUACCCCGAGGAAAAGAAAUCAACCGAGAUUCCCCCAGUAGCGGCGAGCGAACGGGGAGGAGCCCAGAGCCUGAAUCAGUGUGUGUGUUAGUGGAAGCGUCUGGAAAGGCGCGCGAUACAGGGUGACAGCCCCGUACACAAAAAUGCACAUAUUGUGAGCUCGAUGAGUAGGGCGGGACACGUGGUAUCCUGUCUGAAUAUGGGGGGACCAUCCUCCAAGGCUAAAUACUCCUGACUGACCGAUAGUGAACCAGUACCGUGAGGGAAAGGCGAAAAGAACCCCGGCGAGGGGAGUGAAAAAGAACCUGAAACCGUGUACGUACAAGCAGUGGGAGCCUCUUAAUGGGGUGACUGCGUACCUUUUGUAUAAUGGGUCAGCGACUUAUAUUCUGUAGCAAGGUUAACCGAAUAGGGGAGCCGAAGGGAAACCGAGUCUUAACUGGGCGUUAAGUUGCAGGGUAUAGACCCGAAACCCGGUGAUCUAGCCAUGGGCAGGUUGAAGGUUGGGUAACACUAACUGGAGGACCGAACCGACUAAUGUUGAAAAAUUAGCGGAUGACUUGUGGCUGGGGGUGAAAGGCCAAUCAAACCGGGAGAUAGCUGGUUCUCCCCGAAAGCUAUUUAGGUAGCGCCUCGUGAAUUCAUCUCCGGGGGUAGAGCACUGUUUCGGCAAGGGGGUCAUCCCGACUUACCAACCCGAUGCAAACUGCGAAUACCGGAGAAUGUUAUCACGGGAGACACACGGCGGGUGCUAACGUCCGUCGUGAAGAGGGAAACAACCCAGACCGCCAGCUAAGGUCCCAAAGUCAUGGUUAAGUGGGAAACGAUGUGGGAAGGCCCAGACAGCCAGGAUGUUGGCUUAGAAGCAGCCAUCAUUUAAAGAAAGCGUAAUAGCUCACUGGUCGAGUCGGCCUGCGCGGAAGAUGUAACGGGGCUAAACCAUGCACCGAAGCUGCGGCAGCGACGCUUAUGCGUUGUUGGGUAGGGGAGCGUUCUGUAAGCCUGUGAAGGUGUGCUGU